GCUGAUUAUUGCGUUUUGCCGCGCAUGCUCAAUAGACUACCAAUGAUUUCCAAUGAUGGGAAAGCAUUGGAUUGGCUGAGAUCAGCAAGGCUGAUGAUAUCAGCCAUGGAGGCGGAGCCAGCCAGGGCAAAACAAGCGCAUUGAUGAAAAAAAAAGGUAACUAAUGAGGGUGGCCAGACAGUCCAGCACUACAUGUUUGUAUUACUA